rnacentral:rRNA from 1 species
UGGGGAAUUUUGGACAAUGGGGGCAACCCUGAUCCAGCAAUGCCGCGUGUGUGAAGAAGGCCUUCGGGUUGUAAAGCACUUUUGUCCGGAAAGAAAUGGCCCUGGCUAAUACCCGGGGUCGAUGACGGUACCGGAAGAAUAAGCACCGGCUAACUACGUGCCAGCAGCCGCGGUAAUACGUAGGGUGCGAGCGUUAAUCGGAAUUACUGGGCGUAAAGCGUGCGCAGGCGGUUUUGUAAGACAGGCGUGAAAUCCCCGGGCUCAACCUGGGAAUUGCGCUUGUGACUGCAAGGCUAGAGUGCGUCAGAGGGGGGUAGAAUUCCACGUGUAGCAGUGAAAUGCGUAGAGAUGUGGAGGAAUACCGAUGGCGAAGGCAGCCCCCUGGGACGUGACUGACGCUCAUGCACGAAAGCGUGGGGAGCAAACA